UCUAUUUAUAUAUUUAAUCCAUGCAUUUAGUAAUUGUGUUAUUAAAUUGCAUUUAUACUAUAUUAUAUAUGUUGUACAUCAUAAAUGUAGAUAUAUGCAUUUAUACAUAUGUGAGUCUGUGUUUAUGUAAAUAUGAACACAUGCUGUGGCUGAAAGCAGAAUGUGGCACGAUACCAAGGGGUGAUAAGAGUCACUCCUCACAUCCUCCGCCAAAGGAAGUGCUGCUCCUCUGGCAGAGUAUCCUGUCCUUGCGGCGGACGGAUUAAGAUAUCGGAGCUCGAAGCAUUAGGAUAAUUUUGCUCUAUUAUUUGCCAAGGAACAUUGCGUUCGGUGAGGAAAGGACGUGCUUGUUGAUCUUUGAUGGGGCGUGGUGACCAGAAACACCGGCCUUAGCUUGGUUUUCUGCACUAACACUGAUUUGAAACACGAUGACCUUCUUUCGUUGCGUCCAGCCUUGAUAUAUGGCCGGCAGUGGAAAAAGGCAGACUGUUUACUCUGAGCGACUUGCCACACCUGUUAACAGAUUUUCUCUAUCUUCGUGGACGAAAUUCAUUGCCGUUUACCCAGAUAUGAACGGGUCGCUUAUUAUACGAGAUGGAUGCAGUAUACAGGUAGGAGGCGUGUGAUACAAUCUUGUGAUUAUCCUUCUAGUUAGUGAACAGAUGUGUCCUUAGCCUGUUCGCGGGGAGCAAUUGUAUAUGCGGUCGAUUGAGAUGGAGAAUUUUCACAUUUCGACGCGUCGAGAGGGAAAAAGGGAACGUGUUAGCGUGGUAACUGAUCACUAUUGUAAUUAUUGGAUUUUUCUUUACUUUUAUUUUUGAGAAUCGAUAUAACCUUGGCCGUGUUUUGCUGUUUGCCUUGAGAUACAAAAAUAAUAAUGAUAAUAAUAAUAAUAAAUCGAGAUUAUGUUCGAACAAAACUCCAUGUUUUUAUUUCUGUUUUAUACCCUUUGAUGUAUAUGAAGAAGCACUUACGUCAACGACUUUCUAGUAAAAUAACGAACAGGAAACGGUCUUUUCAACACUGUUGGUCUCAAUUCAAUAAGAUAAGCGGUGCUGAUUACCACUCACUAGAGUUUACAUCUGUGAUCGCGUAUUUAUUCUUGGACGUAUUAUGAAUGCGUUAGUGUUGCGCCCUUAUCACCCUCUCUGCAAAUUUCUAAUAUAUACUAUACCGCUGCUGUGAGUGCGAUUUCACUUAGAUUUGAUUCCAGACCUCAAGGAUUCGAAAUGAAAUUGAGACUUCAGGCCUUCCAUCUUUUCAUCUAGAACUAGGAGAAAGGUUAGUCGAGAGCAUACCAGCAGGAUGGUUGUCUCGAAGAGCGUCGAACUGCAUCGAAGGACGCCACGUGCAGGGCAUUACAGCGAGUUUUCAGCAGAUAGAAAUGGAAACGGACGAAAGCGUAUCGAGCUUUCUCUUCUGCGAAAGUCCAUUUCAACUGAUGGUAAUUACUGCAAUGAACGGUCUCUUCGGUGCCAGUGACUUGUAGAAAUAAUAAAAAAAGACAUUACCAUUAAGGAGCAUUCAUUUCCCGCUAAAAGUCAAUAAUAAUAAAUGAGCAAACGCACUCCAUCGCCCUUUCAGUUUUAGUCAUACUGCAAUGUGAUAGUCUGUAGUCAUUUUAUCCUCUUGCUUGUAAUCUUGGCCAAUUGACAUGCCGUUGAUAUUUGUUUGGUCUCCGUGCCAUCAACGCGAGAUAUCAGUUUUCCUUGUGUUGAAAUGCAUCUGGACGGGGAAGGCUUUUUUUCUUCGAUUCUGUAUAUUAGAAAGGAAAGUAGCAGUGCCAAUUGCAAGCAUCAGUAUUGCUAAAAGGAAUAUCUGUGAAGGUCCUGUUUAGUCGUUUUUGAAAAAGUGCGAGCUAUUUUGCGCAGAUUAUCGCUGAGGGACGCGUACCACUUCCUUAAACAUAGAAUCGUGGAAUCUUGAACAGUGUGAAGGAACAUCAAUGCAGGUUGCCGAUCGUAGCGUCCGCUUUGCAGUGGAGACACUCAGUUUAGCUCCGUGACUUCGCUCUGGCGUCGUGUCUACGCUGGCAGUUACCGUUGCUCUGACGUCACGGACGGUUUCCUGAAACGUCAUCCCCGACCUGUCGGUGAUCAUGCAGGGCUUCCGGUAAGCAGAAAUAAGCGUUAUGUCCCUAUCGAUAAGGCCGGGAGUCACCUGCCUGUUCACGCGGAUAUAUUAUGGAGAGAAGUUUGACGUCAUUAAAAUCCGGAUCGUGUCAUUUUUAUACAUUUUAAUGAAUAAAACGCACAGGCGUUGGUCAGGACAGCUUUGCCUCACGUAGGAUAACUCGAGCAAGACGAGUGGCAAGGUGGAGCCGGUUGUGACUGAGGUCACGUCCCUGGCGCUCCUUUGAGGACUGCCACUGAGGCUCCUGCGCGGCUGCGGGCGCCCGGAGGAAAUCGGAGGAGGCCUUGCUCGAAGGUUUACGUGCUGGAACUUCAAACUUGA